rnacentral:misc_RNA from 1 species
AUGAACUCAAGAAAUGCAUUAUAUUUGAUUUAUUCAAAAUCUAGUAUCUUAUAAAGCUUCCAAUAUAAUCAGAUGUCAUAGAUACAUUUGGAAACAAGUGGACACAAGUAAACCAUGGGAAAAGGUUACAAAAUCUUAGAAAAAAAUAAGCCAAAAAUAUUUAAAUGUGGAACCAAUUAGUAACACCAGUUGAAAUUAAGAGCAUUAUUUGAAACAUAUUUACCUAGCAAACAAGCUCAAUCCCUUAAUCACCACUUCAUAAAACAUAAUUCUAUUUUGCAUUUCAUCAAACACCUUGUGUCCAAACUUAAUCCCUCCUUUGCCAUAGAUAUCUUGAGUGCUACUAUUAUCCAUUUAGCUGGCUUUCUCAUUUUUUAUCCUCUUGUUCAGCUAAUGCUUUUAUUCCUCUUCUAACCAAUUCCCACCCCGAAACAACACACGCAGAAAGAAAAGAGAAAGGAAAAUAAGAAGAUGAAAGAAUAAUUACCUUCUGUAGGUUAUAUGUCAAAGCAUCAAUUAAAUCAUUAGAACCUGAAUUGCAAGCAGUCAAUUGUAUAGAUGUGAUACCGCAAGUUUCAGCAAGACUUGAUGGGGAAAUGUAUUUUUUUCUUUAGCGAAAACAUCACUGCUAUUAAUUGAAUAAUGGAUAAGCAAGUCCACCAUUUUCCUACAUCUCCUUUUGAUAGCUUGGCUCUCAAACUAAAUCUCAGACAAGAUCGCCGUUAACUUAUGAAUAGCCUUCUCACGUCCAAAUUUCUUUCUAUCAUCAUGUCAAAAAUUGUUUGGGCCAACAUACAA